GAAUUUCGCGAUGGUGGUGCCCGUGUGUGGUGUGUGUAACAUGUCCAAGGUGGUGGGUGGUAGCCUGCCGUAGAGCGCGUGGAAUGGUGAUGUGCCUAUCGGUAAGUAGUACGAGGUAUUGUGCUACAUUUAUGCCAAGUGCAGAUAUUGGUACCACUUUUGAAGGUGAUUUUCGGCGAAGCAUCAUAGGUAAGCCUCUAAGCCUCGAUGGAGUACCUCUGUUUCUCCAUUCUUUUAUGGAUGAUAAGUUGAGCUUAAUUUUAAUGUGGUUACCUGUGCCUUGAACGGUUCUUUCCAGAAGGUGCUGACGAAGAGGGGGUCUCUAUUUUGAAACUAUUGUUUUGGAAGAACAAUAGACCUUGGUGGGUGGAGAAUAAGUUGGGUUGUUGCUAGUCAUUAGUGCAUGCACUUAUCAAUUGUUGUCCUUCAUUUGAGAUUUUUUUUUUUUGCAAUUCAUGAAAAAGCAGAGGAAUGGGUGAGGACACUGCCAACAUGAUGGGAGUCUCGAUUGUCUCUUGGCGGGAGAGGGCGUCGACCACCAGAUUUUGUUUUCCAG
rnacentral:lncRNA from 1 species